CCAUACUACAGGAACAGAUCUGAUAAGCAUCAACACUUUGAAGUUUAAUAGGUCACCUCUUCCUUCUAGGAGCAUUUUUGUUUGUUUUUGAAGAAGAAUACAAAUUUUUAAGCAAGCAAGACUAUAGUUUUUAAAAUAACAAGACAAAUAGCUGCCACAGGGACAAUUGAGUUCGGUGCACUUUAUCAGUGCAUCUUUCCUUGCAGGAAACGCUCACGCUAUGGUAGAUACUUCUGAUUGUAUUGAAUACACAACAGCCAUUUCCCCAGGUUGUUGUUGUCAAUAGAGUUCUAAUACAUUCACAUGUGGCUCUGUGCUUUAAGAAAGCAGGGCCCAUUCUCAGCUGUGAUUAAUUUAAGGCAACCAUGGUGGGUCUCUUCCCCUUGCUAACAAUUGGCUUAGAAAAAGUCAUGGUAACAAUUAUAGCCAAUAAGAUAUAAGGAAAGGUUUUUGAGACGUGUGGGGUGAAGCAUGGGAAAGUAUUUCUCUUUAUCAAUAAGCGUCAGUCUCACCAUGGCCUCCACGUCUUGUGUGAGGAUGCUAUGGUCGGGGCUGUUGCCACCAUCUUUUAACCAUGAAGAGAUGAGCUUAGGAGCAAAGCCAACACCCUGAGGACAGCAGAGCAUAAUUAUGAAAAGAAUCUAGCUUUUGAUGAUGUUGAGCCACUAACUUAACUAACCCUGGACGUGCCAUCUCUCAGACUGUUCCUCCUUUGAGAAAAUAUUAUCCUUUAUUGUUUAAGCCAGUUUCGGUUAAGGGUUUUUUCCUUAUGGCCAAAAAACUAAACACAAGAGAGCCAACUUUGAUCAGAAGAUUGCCAAGCAUGCAAGGACUCCAAGCGAGUCUCCUUCCUUGUCUGGGCCCACCUGGAGAGGCUGAGGACUUGAUUAGUUGGAUACGGCACUCCUUUGAGAAGUUUUCUGAGCCUCCAAGGCAUGGAGCCAGUCACACACCAGCCACCACUGGCUCUGUGGACAUUAUCAGGCCCUUAGGAAACUGGAAAAACAAGAUUUGCCUUGGAAUUUUACUGUCAUAAACUAGCUUCCUCCCUCCAACCGCCCCACCCCAACUCCUAUUAAGGCCAACCAGGUCUAGAUAAAAAUAAACUGUAUCUUCAUUUCUUCA
rnacentral:lncRNA from 1 species